AGUGCCCGGAGAAAAUCCACGCAGGCACAGGGAGAACAUGCAAACUCCACACAGGCGGGGACGGGGAUUGUGUGAAAGCUCUUUUAAAUGUUUGCUGAACAUUUGGACAAGCCACUUAAAUACUGGGAGAAUAUACAGACCCUUUCCAAAAAUGUAGAAUAUCAUGGAAAAGUUUAUUUCCAUAAUUCCAUUCAAAAAAUUAAACUUUCAUAGAUUAUAGAUUCAGGGCCCACUAUUUAAAUAAUUUCAAGUGUUUGUUUAUUUUUACAUAUUUUGGGCUUGCAGCACAUAAAACCCACGAAAUCAGGAAUUAAAAAAAUUUGAAUACUGGGAAGAAAUCAAAUUUUGCAAGCCCUAAAUGUUUUUACUUGAGUGUCACACACUAAUCAUCUACUAAACUCAAAGCACCUGCACGGGUUUCCCCAGGUGUUAUUAAAUUGCUUCAGUUUGCUUCAAUUGUCUCAGUUGGGUUCAAUAUGGGGAAGACUGCAGACUUGACAACUGGUCAGAAGACCAUCAUUGAUACACUCCACGAAAGCCACAAAAGUUCAUAGCUAAGGUUGGCUGGCUGUUCACAGAGUACUGUGUCAAAGCAUAUCAAUGGAAAGUCUCGUGGAAGAACAAAAUGUGGCUGGAGAAGAUACACCAGUAAAAGAGAUGAUCAUGGGUUUCAGCCAAUUAUCAAACAGGGAAGAUUAAAUAAUCUAGCAGAGGUCCAGAAAGAGUGGAAUCAGGCGGAAGUCACAACUUCAAAAACCACCACAUUCAGACGCAUCCGGGACAUGGGCUACAACUGUCAGGUUCCUCGGCUCAAGCCACUUCUGAGCCACAGCCAAUGUAGGAAGCGUCUCAACUGGGUCAAGGAGAAGAAGGACUGGACUGUUGGCCAGUGGUUCAAGGUCCUUUUUCAAAUGAAAGUGUGCCUUUCAUUCGGGAUUCAAGGUCCAAGGGUUUGGAGGAAGACGGGUGAUGAACAGAACCCAAGCUGCUUUUAGGUCCAGUGUGAAAUAUCCACAGUCAGUCAUGAUUUGGGGUGCAAUGUCCAGUGCAGGUGUUGGUAAACUCUACUUUCUUAAAUCCAAGGUCACCGCAAUAGUCUACGAGAAUGUUUUUGAGGACUUCAUGAUUCCUUCUGCUGACGAUCUGUAUGGAGAUGCAAAUUUCAUCCUCCAGCAAGACCUGGCCCCUGCCCAUACCGCCAGAAGCACUGAAACCUGGUUUGAUGCCCAAGACAUCACAGUGCUUGACUGGCCAGCCAAUUUACCAGAUCUAAACCCCACUGAGAAUCGAUGGGGUACACAUGACCCAAAAACAAAGAAGAACUGACAGCAAGCAUCAAGGAAAUCUGGGCUUCCAUAACUCCCAGGCAAUGGCACAGGGUGAUUGCCUCAAUGCCACGGCGCAUCGAGGCAGUUAUUAAAGCAAAGGGAUUCCCAACCAAGUAUUGAAGAUUAACAGAUAAUUUUGAAAGUACCAUAUUUUGAGUGAUUUAAUGUGACCCUAAUUUAUUUUUCCUUUUUUCUACAAAACUGAGAAGUAAAUGGUGAUUUCUUCACAGUAUUCAAAUGUUUUGAAUUCCUGAUUUUGUGAGUUUUAUAAACUGGAAGCCCAAAUUAUGUAAAAAUAAAUAAAUGAAAGUUUAACUCUUUGAAAGGAAUAAUCGAAAAAUAAAUAAACUUGUCCAUGAUAUUCACAUUUUUUGGAAAGGGUCUAUAGUCUGGUCUGAUGAGAGCAAAAUUGAACUGUUGGAUGCCAUAAUGCACACCACGUUUGGAGGACAAAUGGCAACGCACAUCACCCUAAAAGCACCAUACCAACAUUGAAGUUUGGAGUUGGGAACAUGAUGGUGUGGGGUUAUUUUUCAGCAAAUGGUACUGGUAAGUUUCACAUUAUUGAAGGUAUGAUGAAUGGGCCAAUCUACCGAGACAUUCUUCACAAAAAUCCGCUGCCAUCUACGAGGAUGAUCAAAGUGAAACGAGAUUGGACAUUUCAGCAGGCUAAUAAUUCAAAACAUACUGCAAAGGAAACUAUCAAUUGGUUUCAAAGAGCACAAAUAAAGCUGCUAGAAUGGCCCAGCCAAUCACCUGACUUGAAUCCAAUCGAAAAUCUAUGGAAAGAACCGAAACUCGAGGUCCAUAAAAGAAGCUCACGGAACUUUCAAAAUUUGAAGACUGCUUGUGUGGAGAAAUGGGCCAAAAUCACACCAGAGCAAUGCAUGCGACUUGUUUCUCCAUACAGGAGGCGUCUUGAACCUGUCAUUGCAAACAAAGGCUUUUGUACAAAAUAUUAAAUAAAUACCAGUUGGCGUUCAAUACUUUUUCCCUGUGUCAUUUCACAUUAUUACACACAACUUCAUUUCUGAUCUAGUUUCUUCUACUUUCUUUGUAUGUAUGGAUUACUUGGGUUGUUCCCAACAUCUGAUGACAUUUCCAUGUCAAUAACAACUUUGGAAAUAUAUUUUACGAGAAAAAUGGUGAGCCGCUGUAUAAACAACCAUUCGCACUCACAUUCACACCUAUGGGCAAUUUAUAUUUAAUUUAUAUAUAUAUAUACAGUAGGUACGGGAAGUAUUCAGACCCCCUUAAAUGUUUCACUCUGUUAUAUUACAGCCAUUUGGUUAAAUUAUUUAAGUUCAUUUUCCCCCACAUUUAUGUACACACAGCACACCAUAUUGACAGAAAAAAAUUGAAUUGUUGAAAUUUUUGCAGAUUUAUUAAAAAAGAAAAACUGAAAUAUUACACAGCCAUAAGUAUUCAGACCCUUUGCUGUGACAUAUUUAACUCUGGUGCUGUCUAUUUCUUCUGAUCAUCCUUGAGAUGGUUCUACACCUUCAUUGGAGUCCAGCUGUGUUUGAUUAUACUGAUUGGACUUGAUUAGGAAUGCCACACACCUGUCUACAUAAGAACUUACAGCUCACAGUGCACGUCAGUGCAAAUGAGAAUCAUGAGGUGAAAGCAACUGCUGAAGAGCUCAGAGACAGAAUUGUGGCAUCCAAAACUAUCGCGCAAAAUGCCGGCCCAUACGUAUGGCGAGAUGCUCUCGUCUGCCAACCAGGAUUUGAAUAAAUGGGAUCCGGAAUCGUCAGAGAGUGAACUCACUUUUGGAUAGCCAGGGCGAGCUUCCUCCGAUGAAGAUCGACAAAGUCUGACGAAGAAGGUAACUCGUUUGCAGCUCGCGUUUGCUACAUUUGUCGAGCAAACGCGCUCCUUCAAUCCUUGUUACAUAAAAAACAUAAUUUAGUCCGACUAGUUCACAUUACAAUGUAACACCUGUUGCCAAUACUAAUUAGAAUUUUCCAUUUUGUCCAUCUUGCAGGAAUUCAACACCUGCAAGUUGAGCGUCUUUUAGGAUUGCGAAGAAGAAAAUUUAUGCAUCCAGCAGAUGUUCAACUCCCAUUCCAGUACGCAGUGCAGACAAAAAAAAGGUUCUGCUUCGAGCAGAAGUAGUGACUGGUUUCAAGGAGAAUGACAACCACAGAAGAUCCUAUUCAGUGCCAACAGAAGAAUAAAAUAAGAUGUGGAUAAACCUUUGCUAGAUUUUAUGCGCAAGGAAAUAAAAAUCUGGACUAUUGAGCAAACGGUAGAGCAGGAGAAUUUGGAGGGAAAAAGUGCAAGUGUGGGAGGCUUUGUCUUAUGUAA